AUGAACGCUGGCGGCGUGCCUAAUACAUGCAAGUCGCGCGAACAGACGAGGAGCUUGCUCCUCUGACGUUAGCGGCGGACGGGUGAGUAACACGUGGAUAACCUACCUAUAAGACUGGGAUAACUUCGGGAAACCGGAGCUAAUACCGGAUAAUAUAUUGAACCGCAUGGUUCAAUAGUGAAAGACGGUUUUGCUGUCACUUAUAGAUGGAUCCGCGCCGCAUUAGCUAGUUGGUAAGGUAACGGCUUACCAAGGCAACGAUGCGUAGCCGACCUGAGAGGGUGAUCGGCCACACUGGAACUGAGACACGGUCCAGACUCCUACGGGAGGCAGCAGUAGGGAAUCUUCCGCAAUGGGUGAAAGCUUGACGGAGCAACGCCGCGUGAGUGAUGAAGGUCUUCGGAUCGUAAAACUCUGUUAUUAGGGAAGAACAAAUGUGUAAGUAACUAUGCACGUCUUGACGGUACCUAAUCAGAAAGCCACGGCUAACUACGUG
rnacentral:rRNA from 1 species